rnacentral:snRNA from 1 species
GGAUGUGAGGGCGAUGUGGCUGCGACAUCUGUCACCCCAUUGAUUACCAGAGUUGAUUCAGCUGAUCUGGCUGGCUAGGCAGGUGUCCCCUUCCUCCCUCACUGCUCCAUGUGCGUCCCUCCCAAAGCUGCGCGCUCGGUCGAAGAGGACGGCCUUCCCUGGGUAUACAAGUAGCUGCGCUUCCCUGCUAGAACCUCCAAACAAGCUCUCAAGAAAUUGCAAAUCUUUAUAUAAUACACAAAGAAAAAACAAUCACCAGUCAUACCACUUUUAUUUACAUUAUGUCUAUAUUACAUUGUUUAUU